CUCUCGCACCGAUGCCUGUGUUUACACAGGCAGCCCAAUUCUGAUUACAUUUUUUUCCACUCAUUGGUCUUUGGACCAACCAAAUCCGAUCUUUUCACAUCUAGAUCUGAUUUGUCAAAAGACCAAUUAGUGAAGGAAAAAAAAGAUUAGAAUUGGGCUGCCUGUGUAAACAGCCUAAGUGAAACCACAGAUAUGAACGCUAAAUCUUUCCCACCAUCCUUUGUGGACUACAUUUAUCUUGUGAUUUGUUUUGUGUGUGACUGUGGACUGAUGCCUCUAUCAUGUUUAAAUCUUCCUGUCAAUCUCUAUUCUAUGACUGUAACCUCUCACUCUUUCUCUCCCUAACUCUCCCCAGUGACUCUAAGGGCUUGAUUAUAUUUGCUACAAAUGUCCAGAAAUAUGUCAUCUAGAUCAGACAUACCUCUCUGACAUGUAGAAUAAGGAAUCAUGUCCGCUCGAUUUGUGACAUUUCUAUAUGCAGUGUUCAGUAGAUUGCACGUGACCCAGGACUACAAGAUUGUUUCUUUUAAUGAUUACUAACUAGUGAGCACUUUAACCAGGGGGUGUUUUCUCUCCACACUGCUGUCUUCUGAAUCCCAUGUGAUUUUUUUAUAUAUAUAUAUAUAAAAUCACACUUUAGUUCUCACAUAUCUGAAGGACUGUUUGUUUUCUAUCUGUUGUCUUAGCCAUGCAGUCUUUAUUAUUAGUUAUAGUGCCAAUAAACAAAAUGUUGAAAAUGACAACCAAACUGGCAUGUGAACCUGAGCAGAAUAACUACUGUGGUAAAUUAUUGCAUACAAUUGAUUAAAACCCAGAUUUUAUUUUAUUUGCACAUGUAUAGAGAUUUAUAUUUAAAAAAAAUAUUUUAUUUUUAUGUAUUUUAACAAAACAAAAAAAAAUCUUGCAUAAGUAGACCUGUUUUUGCACUGACAUUUUGUAUGAGCACUGGACUGCAUGCAGAAAACUGAGUCUUUGCACAGUUAAUGUUCUCCACUUCCAUGAUGAAUUUAAAUUUAAGUGAUUUGAGAUUAUUAUUGUAAUAUUUAUGAAAUGUUAAUUACACUAGUUUAACAGCAGCAAAUGACAGUACAGACUUUUCCUUUUCUUCAAUUCCAUGUACAUUUUAAUUUCCGGUGUGGAUUUAUGGAUUGAGAUUUUUAUAGACGAUUCCUGUUUCAACAGCCUAACAAAAAUCAUUUCCAUCUGAGAUAGGUUGCUGAAUGACAACACUGAAAAUAAAACAUGUCUAGAUUGUAUACAAAUAAAACUG
ensembl:lncRNA